AUAUGUUAACAUACAUUUCCGGGAUUACUUACAAUUUUGGUGCCUCAUACUUGGUUAAAACUGAACUGGAAAAGUAGGAUGAGAUACUUACGGAGUAAGAAAACUGCAAGUCAAGCCAAGGCAGUUGUCUGCUUAUAUGCCUUCCACUUUCGAAUUUUCCCCUUGUUAAGGGCUGAUUGAUGGAAUCCUUCUUUGUAUGUGUAGCUAGCCAGAAGCAAUCCCUUUGAAUAUAUCUACAUCAAUAAACUUCUUUUAUUGAUAUAGGAAGAGCUUGUUCUUUCCUGAUUGAAAUGAGGUUGGGCACAACAGAACAAUAUAUUGCUAUAACAGGCACAAGCCCCUAUGUCUUUUACAAGCUUAGAGUUAGAACACAUUAGAUUCAGGAGAGAUAGUGAGGUCCCCUAGGCUUUGCCUGCUUGCUGCAUGAAAAUGCACAAACCAAAGCAAAGAAAGAGAGCUCCCAUGGGCCCAUUCAAUAUAUAAAGCAACAAGGGCAACGAACUUUUCUGUUUUAUUGGUCAUGCUUCUCUCUCUCCCCUCUCAAAACAGUGUUGCUUCAAUCUUACUUCUUUAAAUAGGACCAAUGACUUCUUACCCGCCAAGUUAAAAACCACCUAAAGCUCUUGUCUUCCUCUGCUUUCUCUUCCCUUCCUUUCUCCUUCUGUUCACCUCUGAGUGUUCCACAAUCCACAUGCAUUUUCCUCCCCUAAAAAUCAACAUGGUUGCCCUGAGUUCUCUGUCCAAUGGCCUGCCAUUCUUUGGUGAAAGCUUGUAGAACUGAAUCAGCAGAAAGAUAUGGGGAGGGGUGGUAGAGCUUUGAGGUCUCUGUUUGGAGUUACACUACUUGUGGGAGUUAUUUGGUUUUUUUUUGUUGGCAUCAUAGCAAACCAUGCAACGGCGAUGACAAAAUCAAUGAUGGUUCCCUCAACUAGGGAUUUUAAACAUUGGGAGUUUGUUGCACAGGAGAGGUAUAAUUUUCAUCAGGAUUUCCAUCUCAACUAUGUCAGCAAGAGAAGAGUACCUAAUGGACCUGAUCCCAUUCACAACAGGAGAGCGGCAAAGUCUAGAGAACCACCAGGUCGAGCCUAAGUGUGAGGACAAUGACAUUCCUUGAGCUUCUGCAGAUGAUCACGGUGGAGAAAAUUUGUUUAAAUUUUUUUUAUGCUUCGUCGAUGGAGAGAUCAUAAACCUUGUACUUUAAAUUUUCCAGAAAUUUUCUUGCUAGUACUCAUGCUAUAUGCCACUUUGAGAAUUUGGGGAGUAAAUAUAUUCACCAAAAAAGUUUUGGGUUAAGUUUGCACUGCCAUUGGUGACUGCCUGAAAAUGAAGAUUUUCUUCAUGGAUAUCAAGAAAGUAAGUGCUUGCUCUAGCACAAGCAUCAAGUACACAACAACUGUGAGAACGACUGAACUUUUGGAGGUGUCCCACCUGCAUUUUGCUUGUCCUUGCUUAAUUCUUUUAAGGGAAGGAGAUUCAUGGAUAGGGUUUUGUUUAACAAUGACAAAACCAGGCCAAGCAGAAUUUGCUGUUAGGAGAUUGGAGCGAAUUCCAAUAAAGGAAUGUUGUCUCCGUACAUUGAUGUGUAGCUUUGUAACAUAUAUUAAUCAGCUACUACUAUCUCUUUUUGGGUUUUUUAUUUCAACUCUCUUGUUGCCUUUUCUUCUCCCCAGCUAAAUAAAGCAAAAGCCAAUAACUAAA